UGUCUUUUCAUCAAGCUAUUGGGGGCAACCACACCAUUUUUUACUGCUAUUUUUGCUUUCUUGAUGACUUGCAACAAAGAACUUGCUGAGGUUUACUGUGCACCUUUGCCCGUGGUUUUUGGGAUUGUUUUGGCUAGUAAUAGUGAGCAUUUGUUUCAUUUAUUUGGGUUCUUGGUCUGUGUUGGUUCAACUGCUGGACGUGCUUUAAAAUCUGUGUGGUUCAAGGGAUGUUGUUAGAAUCAGAAGCUGAGAAGUUACAUUCUAGGCGAGAGUUGACAAAACCCGCGAAACACUUCUUCAUUCCCUCCCUGCAGCUCCACAACUAGAUAGUGCCACAGAGGGCGAGUACUGUAGACAAAGCCAAGUAAAGAGCCCUUUGGAGAGCAUCAAUGCUGCGGGUAAAACAUGUAUUUGCUAGCUAUUAUAGCUAAAGAACUUAGUCAGAGAACAACAAUGAGGAUGCUCUAAAGAGCAAGGAAGACCUCUUUUUUAUUGGAAUCUACAUCAAGGAAAAAUAAAAGUGUUUAGUCUACAUGAGCAAAAAGAAUAAUACAAUUUAAUUUGUUGCUGCAACUGAUACGUUUUUUUUAGUGCUACGGAAACUUUUUUCUCACCAGGAUAAAGCUUACUCUAGAUGAUGCUGUUAUUUCCAGGGCAAACAACAACAUUAAACUAUUUGUUAUUAUCCUCAUCAUAUAACACUUCUUAUGUUUUUGAUUUUCUGUUCAGAAUAUUCAGUCAUUUUUUUUUUUCACAAAUCAUGCCAUCUAAAUCUGGGUCCUUUUUAUGAUCAUCAUGAUUUCAACAGACAUCAUGUAGGCAAAAAUGAAAAUCAAGGCAAGUUUUCUUUUUCUUUUUAUCCUUCUGACAUAUAUUUAAUCAAGUUUAAACAUACAUCAUCUAACCUAAAAUCAACAUCAACUGGAGGGUCGUUACCAUCCGGAAGAAAAGGCAUCAAGAUCAAUAUAGUCAUAUGUUUUUUUGAAGGAUCAUAUGUGAAGUGAUGAUGGAAUCCAUGGGGAAACCUGUUGAUGUUUUUUUUUCUGUCUAAAGGAACACUACAGUGACUAAUUAACAGGAAAGAAAGGUCAGCAACUUGUUUAUCAUUGCAUACCUAACUGGUUGAUGGUGAAAAAAUAUGUUUAUGAAACUAUAGCACGUGUAUUUCUAAGAGUGGUAAUGUCUGCGGUCAUAUUCAUCAUACCAAUCAUCAUUUCAAAAUUGGAAUGACUCAUUGUCAGUUGAGUAUGUGCAUGAGCAGUCAUGACAACAACAGUGGAAUGAAUCAAUGGCAACAAAAAAGAGUAUGUGCAUGGGCAGCCAUGACAAAAACAAUGUUAUUUGAUGAAAAAUUAGAUCAAAAUAGGAAAAAGUGUAUAGAAAAACCUUUAUAGAGCUGCUGCAGAAUGUUUUUGUUUCUUGGUGUCUAGCCUUGAUUCAUCAGGGGAUUCAGAGGUUGUUCAGUCUCUACUGGAGUUUGAAUAGCAUCCUUGAUUUCAGCACGAGGAAGUUUGUUGUUGGGCAAAACAAUGUGUUAGUUAGAGAAAUCAAAGUGCAAAGAUUACUGGACAAAAAGGUGUUGUCUGCAAAUAAGCAAAACCAUGUAUGACUUGUAUCGAACGGGUCAAUAGUGAAGUCUAGCUUUCUCUUUGAAUCUAAAGAGCUAGCUUCUUUUAGCAUGGUAGGGUGCAAAGAAGAAGAUGAACUGCCAGCAUGUGCUGCGAUGGUAAACCAUUAGCUAACAUAUAAACGAAGACCUUUUCAACAAC
rnacentral:lncRNA from 1 species